rnacentral:lncRNA from 1 species
GCCUUCUGGUAACUCAUAACCACCCCAUACUCUCGACGGAUGUCGUUGAUGAUAUCUGUAGGUCUGUAAAUCGUCCGUGGAUCCUGAAACUUGUGCAUUAUCUGUCGACCAAUAAACCAUGAUCGAGCUUGCCUGUGAUCAUUUUGACGAAUACCCACUUCACAAGUAUGUUCCCGCGCAUACUUACGAACAACAAAGAACUCAUUUGUG